rnacentral:lncRNA from 1 species
GAACAAAGCAGGAUCUUGGGGCUUUCAUUGGUGACAGUGAGACCAGGUCGAUGGGGAAGGGAACGGUGCAGCAGAGCUACCUAGGAUGUUUAUGUCGAUAAUGGGUGGUCGGAGCGACAAUGAAAGUAUUGAUGAUCAUUAUGUUAGAAAAUAUGGCCUCCAACUAUGCAUGGAAAAUGACUCGUUGAGAUAAAACAGCUUUGCUAUAGGGAUUUAAACUAAUGAGUACCACAAGUUUUGUGUCCCAGCAUGUUUUGCAAGGAAUCUAGGUAAGUUGGUGUACAAAUGCCAUAAAUGGUAGAUGUAUAAACAUAGCCCCUAAGUCAAAGGAUCAAUGGUGCACAAGGUUUGGAGUUUCGGUCGAAGUUCACCAAAAACCAGCGAAUUCUGGUCCUAACAGUAGAGACUGGUACCUAAUUAGGCCUCUUUUAUACACAAG